AGGAGGUGGCGCCAUAAGCCCUGUACAUAAAUCCCGCUGGAGUUUCCAAAGGCGCCUCCUUGCUUAAUGAGGAUGUGGUUAUAGAUGGAUGAUUGCUCCUAAUUUGGAUUCUCUUUUAAAAUGCCCAAAGGCUAAAAGGGAAAGAUGUGUGGAGUCCAGUGUGAAGCUCAGCAGGGAUUAUUCCUGGAGGUGCCAGUCAAGUAGCUUCUUCCCUCGUCCCUGGGGGGUUCAAGAACCUGAGUGACCAGUGUGUCCCGGGGAUUAGGAAACUCUCCCUGUGAGUUCUUCUCCAGGGUUUGCUAUAUGUCCUCCAUUGCCUAAGGUGCCUUUCAACUGGGAGAAAGUGCUCUUUGUUUUCAGCUUAUCACGUCCCCAUUCCAAGCCUUUUACAAAUUUUGGUCACUCAGGAAGAAACAAAUCUCAGUGUUAACAAAGGUCCAAAGCCUGGCUAGGAUCUUAAAGCCACACGUUUAGCUUAAGCCACAAACAUUCACUUUAUCCUUUUAAGAAGAGAACUGCUUUCUCUUUAACCAAGUCAAAUGAGAGAAAAGUUUGCAAACCUGAGCAACUAAGAUGAGUGAAAACUUAACCUAACAGAAAAGUGGAACCACAAACCUGUCAAUAGCAGAAUCCUUAGAGAAAUAACAGAUGAAAGUCCUGCCUUAAAGCCCUGAAUGACAGCUUCAGCGUCAGCCCGCUGAGCAUGAAAUUCAUUUACUUAAAUAAAAUCUGAAUUUCAGCCCAAACCCAGGAGAUCCAAAACCUGAGAGUAGUCUUACCAAAGACGCCCGUUAUCUUCGGAUGCAAGCAGUGUGUGCGAAAACCACGGCCCCAGCUGCGGAUGAAGUGGCAGGAGUCCGCCGAAGCCUACUUCAAAUUCCUGGGGCUUCCAGGGGAGGUGCCUGUGUCAUUCCAGGUGGGGUUACCUCCUGGUUUCCUAACUCAGCGGGUUGAGACGGACAGCAGAGAAGGACACUGCACACCUCUGCAGGGCCCCCUCUCUGGCCCACCAGCUGUCCCUUCUCCAGAAUGAAGACCUCACUGUGUCAUCCAGGCAGGAAUAAUAGACAGAAACCCCAGAAGCCCCAGAGCUCUGAGGCCUAAACCACAAGCCCCACCAAGUCCCACAGGGCGCAGCUGGGCAGAACGGCCCGAACCAGUUUGGUUUUGUGAACCAGGUACGCAUUCUUUCUCCUUCCUCCCAGGUAGCACUAAAAUACAUUCCCAGACUCCCAGUUACAUACAGGGAGAGGGAGAGGGGAAGGUAUUCCUGAUUGGAAAACGAACAAACAAAAGCUACCUUUACUAUUCUCAACGUAUAAACUAAGGUAAUCAGAUUAAAUAAUUCUGAAAUUAUUCAAAAUUUUGCUGUUAGUCUUUUUAUUAUUUUAGAGAAGGGGGUCUUACUCUGUUGCCCAGGCUGGACUCAAACUUCUGGGCUCAAGCGAACCUCCUGCCUCAGCCUCCUGAGGAGCUGGACCACCAUGCCUGACUGAAAUUGGUUAUUGAGCAUCUUGAUAUGAAAAAAAAUCUUUGAAUCUUAAUGUUAAGUUUUCGUUUCCUCUUGGCAACCAAAGCAUCCCUAUUUUAAUUUUUAUUUGUUGAUUGUUGGUUGGAGAGUACCAUCCUCCUCACCCGCUAUGCCUCAAGCCCUCUUCCCAGCCUGAAGAAGACCAUCUUCAUCUUAGCAAUGUCAGUAACAAGGCAUGCCACUCAAAGAACUACAGAGAUAAGGGUUUGGGUUUACGCUGGGGAAAGCUCGUGACUCUAGCUGCAGGAAUACAGGACUGAGCCUCCCCGGUUCUGGAAAGCAAAGGGAGGAUGCCCCGCUCCGAUUUCCUCAGCAUCCUUGCCCUGCAGGCCUGACUCGCCCUCCUCUGCACAUGAGACACCUGCUGUCAUGUGUACUGAUGUGUGGCAGCUUCAGCCCUCCGUUCUAUGUGACCUCGCAGCGUUGCGCCCUACAACAGCUAACCCAGACGGUUUCCAUGUUCCACUUCAAAAUCGCUGGGAGGAAAAAAAAUUGGCAUUCGAGAUUGAGAACGAAGGUCUGAAGAGUGGGAGCUAGGCCUGGCUAGAGCAGUGGUGGACAGACUUUUCCUGUAAGAGCUGGGUAGGAGGUGUUUUAGGCUUGGCAGGGCGUGAAGUCCACUCUGCAUUGUCGCGGUGUCAAGCUGCCAUAGUCAAUACGUAAAUGAGUGAAUGUGGCUGGAUCCCAUUCGCAAUUUUAUUCCCAAAAAUAGUGGAUGGCCAGAUUUUUGGCCCAUGGUCUAGAAUUUUCCAUUGCCUGAGAUACUAGAAACAGAAGGGUUUUGUUGCUGUUUUUACUAACUCUUUAUUGGAGUAAGGCAAACAGGCAGAAAAGUGCACACAUCAUAGCAUUUCAUGAACUAUCACAGAGUGACUGCACCCACGUAACCACCAACCAAGUGACAGAACGUUGCUAGCAUCACAGAACCUGGGUUUGUGCCCUUAUUGGUCACUAAUCUCACCCUCCUCCCCCAAAGUAAUUCAACUCUAAUUUUGACUGUCACUAAUCUCUCCUGUUUUGGGCUGUAUAAUAAUGAAGUCACAUUAUAUGUAUUUAUAUUUUGUCUAACUUCUUUGUACAGUAUUCUCCCAAUGGGAUUCAUCUGAACUGUGGUUUGUAGCGAUGGCUCAUUUCUUUUCAUUGUUAUUAUAGUAUUUGAUUGUAUUACUAUAAUACUAUUUAUUUCAUGCUACUGUGGAUGCACAUUGAACAUUGUUUGUAGUUUGGAGCUACUGCAUGUCUUUGGAUGAAUCUGUGUGCACAUUUUCGUUGGAAGUAGAACUGCUGGUCCAACAUAGAUGAUAGAUAGAUUUAUUAUUGAAUAUACGUAACACCAUUUUCUAUAUUGUUCAUUAUAAUUUCCAAAUGACGUUUUUUUCUGCUUGGUGAGGAAUCACUUUCAUACCUUCCAUUGAUUUUUUAGACAUAGUUCUUUUAUUUAUUUGAAAAUAUUUUUGAUACCGGGUUUAAUGUCUGUCUAGUAAGUCCAGCAUGUGGGCUUACUAUGGGACAAUUUCUUUUGUCAACUUUUUUACAUUUCUGGGCCAUACUUGCCUGUUCUUUUGUGUGUUUCUUAAUUAUUUGGGUGACAACUAGACACUUUAAAUAAUAAAUCAACUCUGGAAAUUA